CCAUCGGGACGACCCGGCGGGCGUCAUCACUCAGGGGACGACCCC
rnacentral:ncRNA from 1 species